AACUUUUCAAUGCUAUAAAUGAAGCAUUGACCGAGAAAUAUACGAUUAACAUGAAAAAACUGCAACAGUUAUAUAAUGAUCGACCACAUUCACCUCUCGAAACAGCAGUUUACUGGACCGAGUAUGUAAUAAGAAA